GGACGUGUAGCCCAACGGCAGAGGCAACGGACUUAAAAUCCGUACAGUAUGGGUUCGAAUCCCAUUACGUCUA
rnacentral:tRNA from 1 species